UACGUAGGAGGCAAGCGUUGUCCGGAAUUACUGGGCGUAAAGCGCGCGUAGGCGGAUAUUUAAGUCAGGGGUGAAAUCCCGGGGCUCAACCCCGGAACUGCCUUUGAUACUGGGUAUCUCGAGUCCGAGAGAGGUGAGUGGAAUUCCGAGUGUAGAGGUGAAAUUCGUAGAUAUUCGGAGGAACACCAGUGGCGAAGGCGGCUCACUGGCUCGGUACUGACGCUGAGGUGCGAAAGCGUGGGGAGCAAACAGG
rnacentral:rRNA from 1 species